AUACGGAGGAUGCAAGCGUUAUCCGGAUUUAUUGGGUUUAAAGGGUGCGUAGGCUGUUCGGAAAGUCAGGGGUGAAAGCCCGGCGCCUAACGCCGGAACUGCCUUUGAUACUUCCGAGCUGGAAUACGGAUGCCGUGGGAGGAAUGAGUAGUGUAGCGGUGAAAUGCAUAGAUAUUACUCAGAACACCGAUUGCGAAGGCAUCUCACGAAUCCGUCAUUGACGCUGAGGCACGAAAGCGUGUGGAUCAAACAGGAUUAGAUACCCUGGUAGUCCACGCAGUAAACGAUGAUGACUAACCGUCGGCGAUACACAGUCGGUGGCCAAGCGAAAGCGAUAAGUCAUCCACCUGGGGAGUACGUUCGCAAGAAUGAAACUCAAAUGAAUUGACGGGG
rnacentral:rRNA from 1 species